rnacentral:rRNA from 1 species
GAUGAACGCUGGCGGCGUGCCUAACACAUGCAAGUCGAACGGAGAUUACGGACGGAAGUUUUCGGAUGGAAGACUGUAAUUCUUAGUGGCGGACGGGUGAGUAACGCGUGGGCAACCUGCCCUAUACAGGGGGAUAGCAGCUGGAAACGGCUGGUAAGACCGCAUAAGUCGGUUAAAUCGCAUGAUUUGAUCGGGAAAUGAGCAAUCAGGUAUAGGAUGGGCCCGCGUCCGAUUAGCCAGUUGGCAGGGUAAAAGCCUACCAAAGCGACGAUCGGUAGCCGGACUGAGAGGUCGGACGGCCACAUUGGGACUGAGACACGGCACAAACUCCUACGGGAGGCAGCAGUGGGGGAUAUUGCACAAUGGAGGAAACUCUGAUGCAGCGACGCCGCGUGAGUGAAGAAGUAUUUCGGUAUGUAAAGCUCUAUCAGCAGGGAGAUGAUGACGGUACCUGACGAAGAAGCCCCGGCUAACUACGUG